AGUGGCGGACGGGUGAGUAACACGUAAGAAUUUGCCUUUAGGAGGGGGACAACAACUGGAAACGGUUGCUAAUACCCCAUAUGCUUUCGAGUGAAAUGGAUUUUUCCGCCUAAAGAGAAGCUUGCGGCUGAUUAGCUUGUUGGUGAGGUAAUGGCUCACCAAGGCGACGAUCAGUAUCUGGUUUGAGAGGAUGAUCAGACACACUGGAACUGAGACACGGUCCAGACUCCUACGGGAGGCAGCAGUGGGGAAUUUUCCGCAAUGGGCGAAAGCCUGACGGAGCAAUCUCGCGCGAGGGAUGACGGCCUAUGGGUUGUAAACCUCUUUUUUCAGGGAGGAACAAAAUGACGUGUACCUGAAGAAUAAGCAUCGGCUAACUCCGUGCCAGCAGCCGCGGUAAGACGGAGGAUGCAAGUGUUAUCCGGAAUCACUGGGCGUAAAGCGUCUGUAGGUGGUUUAAUAAGUCAACUGUUAAAUCUUGAAGCUCAACUUCAAAAUCGCAGUCGAAACUAUUAGACUAGAGUAUAGUAGGGGUAAAGGGAAUUUCCAGUGGAGCGGUGAAAUGCGUAGAUACUGGAAAGAACACCGAUGGCGAAGGCACUUUACUGGGCUAUUACUGACACUCAGAGACGAAAGCUAGGGUAGCAAAUGGGAAUAGAUACCCCAGUAGUCCUAGCCGUAAACAAUGGAUACUAGAUGU
rnacentral:rRNA from 1 species